GUGCUUAACUGGCAGGGGAGAUAUCUUGAUCAAAUAGGAGGUUCUCCCAAGGCAAAGCUUUCCCAUUGCACUCUGGGAAGGCUGAUCUCUGUGAUUUCCCCACAGGAGGGAAACUUGGCUGCAGGAUUUGUGGUAGGAGAGUGACUGUGUGCGUGCUUUCCCCUG